GACAGAGGCCCCAAGCGUUAGGCGGAAUCACUGGGCUUAAAGCGUGUGUAGGCGGACGCCUAAGUGUCUUGUGAAAUCCCCACGGCUCACCCGUGGAACUGCUGGGCAUACUGGGCGUCUUGGGCCAACUAGGGGCAGCCGGAACAAGCGGUGGAGCGGUGAAAAUGCGUAGAUAUCGCUUGGAACGCCGAAGGUGAAAAACAGGCUGCUGGGGGU
rnacentral:rRNA from 1 species